GACGAACGCUGGCGGCGUGCUUAACACAUGCAAGUCGAACGGAAAGGCCCUGCUUUUGUGGGGUGCUCGAGUGGCGAACGGGUGAGUAACACGUGAGUAACCUGCCCUUGACUUUGGGAUAACUUCAGGAAACUGGGGCUAAUACCGGAUAGGAGCUCCUGCUGCAUGGUGGGGGUUGGAAAGUUUCGGCGGUUGGGGAUGGACUCGCGGCUUAUCAGCUUGUUGGUGGGGUAGUGGCUUACCAAGGCUUUGACGGGUAGCCGGCCUGAGAGGGUGACCGGCCACAUUGGGACUGAGAUACGGCCCAGACUCCUACGGGAGGCAGCAGUGGGGAAUAUUGCACAAUGGGCGGAAGCCUGAUGCAGCAACGCCGCGUGCGGGAUGACGGCCUUCGGGUGGUAAACCGCUUUCGCCUGUGACGAAGCGUGAGUGUCGGUAAUGGGUAAAGAAGCACCGGCUAACUACGU
rnacentral:rRNA from 1 species